rnacentral:rRNA from 1 species
GACGAACGCUGGCGGCGUGCCUAAUGCAUGCAAGUCGAGCGCAGGAAACUGACGGAACUCUUCGGAGGGAAGGCAGCGGAAUGAGCGGCGGACGGGUGAGUAACACGUAAGGAACCUGCCUCAAGGAUUGGGAUAACUCCGAGAAAUCGGAGCUAAUACCGGAUAGUUCAUCGGACCGCAUGGUCCGUUGAUGAAAGGCGCUCCGGCGUCACCUUGAGAUGGCCUUGCGGUGCAUUAGCUAGUUGGUGGGGUAACGGCCCACCAAGGCGACGAUGCAUAGCCGACCUGAGAGGGUGAUCGGCCACACUGGGACUGAGACACGGCCCAGACUCCUACGGGAGGCAGCAGUAGGGAAUCUUCCACAAUGGACGAAAGUCUGAUGGAGCAACGCCGCGUGAGUGAUGAAGGUUUUCGGUUCGUAAAACUCUGUUGUAAGGGAAGAACACGUACGAGAGGGAAUGCUCGUACCUUGACGGUACCUUACGAGAAAGCCACGGCUAACUACGUGCCAGCCGUCGCAGUAA